CUACGUGCCAGCAGCCGCGGUAAUACGUAGGUCCCGAGCGUUGUCCGGAUUUAUUGGGCGUAAAGCGAGCGCAGGCGGUUAGAUAAGUCUGAAGUUAAAGGCUGUGGCUUAACCAUAGUACGCUUUGGAAACUGUUUAACUUGAGUGCAAGAGGGGAGAGUGGAAUUCCAUGUGUAGCGGUGAAAUGCGUAGAUAUAUGGAGGAACACCGGUGGCGAAAGCGGCUCUCUGGCUUGUAACUGACGCUGAGGCUCGAAAGCGUGGGGAACAAACAGGAUUAGAUACCCUGGUAGUCCACGCCGUAAACGAUGAGUGCUAGGUGUUAGACCCUUUCCGGGGUUUAGUGCCGUAGCUAACGCAUUAAGCACUCCGCCUGGGGAGUACGACCGCAAGGUUGAAACUCAAAGGAAUUGACGGGGGCCCGCACAAGCGGUGGAGCAUGUGGUUUAAUUCGAAGCAACGCGAAGAACCUUACCAGGUCUUGACAUCCCUCUGACCGCUCUAGAGAUAGAGUUUUC
rnacentral:rRNA from 1 species